rnacentral:lncRNA from 1 species
UGAGGCUGCAGUAACAGGGCUGCACAUGGGGAACAAGUCGGAGGCUUCUUGUACUCAAUUGCUCUCUUCUCAUGCCUUGCAAGGAGGAGCACAGCAGCAGGAGCUGGAAAUGGUGAUGACUUUACCUCCAGGGAAAGAUCUCCACUUAUCAAGAGGAGCUGAAGGCUCAUGGCCAGAACACCGACAAACUUCAGCUGGUGAAGACCAGAUAUUUUGGGUUAGCUGCUCCUGGCCUGUUAUGAACAUGCCCUGCCCCUGGAAGUCAGCAGGAAGAGUACAGCCAAUGUCUAUGUGUGCAGCCAAAAUGCCUAUGCAACCCAAAGCCCAAGUGAGUCCGCUGCCCCUGUUCACACUUCUGUCCCAUAGAAAUGAGUUAUUUAAAUUCCAUUCGCAGCCUGACUGCUUUGAUGGCUCUUUUUUUUUUUUUUUUUUUUUUUCAGAGCUUUUCCCUCCCGACUUGUUUGUUGUUUUUUGUUUUUAAUUUAAACUAAUGAGAUGUUUCUGUGUUCCUUCCUCUGUGUCUGAGAGCUGGAGAGUCUCAUUAUAGAACUCCUGCACAUUCUGGAAAUGAGCUUGUAAAAUCUUUUCUUGGGAUGUUUGAGGUGUGCACAAACCUGCCAGGGGAAGAGCCAGAUCCUAUUUGUUAAAUGCUUUUUGUUCUUCUCUUUCAAAGCCGAACCAACCCCUGUAAUGAGGGACUGCCUCUUCAUAACAUUUCUCCUAUGGGAUCUUUGAUCUUCACUAGGAAGUGGAACUCAGUGGAGAGAGAAUCAUCAUCAGUAGCCCAUUUCAUCCCAACCCCACUGCUCUGGGGCAGAAAGGAUGAUUCAUCCCCCGGCCAGGCCAUUCUUUUCAAUGAACUUGCCAUUGUUGUGAAUUAGAUCUAGUGCACGCCACCCUAGCUCACAGAAUUGUUAAUAAACGGAAAGUUUGCAUGUAGAAUAAAAUCA